rnacentral:rRNA from 1 species
UACGUAGGGUGCGAGCGUUGUCCGGAAUUAUUGGGCGUAAAGAGCGUGUAGGCGGCCAGAUAGGUCUGCUGUGAAAACUCGAGGCUCAACCUCGAGAUGUCGGCGGAAACCAUUUGGCUAGAGUCCGGAAGAGGAAAGUGGAAUUCCUGGUGUAGCGGUGAAAUGCGCAGAUAUCAGGAAGAACACCCGUGGCGAAGGCGGCUUUCUGGGACGGUACUGACGCUGAGACGCGAAAGCGUGGGGAGCGAACAGG